UGGGCAACAGUGGGCUCGCCUUCGUAGU
rnacentral:piRNA from 1 species